GAUGAACGCUGGCGGCGUGCCUAAUACAUGCAAGUCGAGCGAACAGACGAGGAGCUUGCUCCUCUGACGUUAGCGGCGGACGGGUGAGUAACACGUGGAUAACCUACCUAUAAGACUGGGAUAACUUCGGGAAACCGGAGCUAAUACCGGAUAAUAUAUUGAACCGCAUGGUUCAAUAGUGAAAGACGGUUUUGCUGUCACUUAUAGAUGGAUCCGCGCCGCAUUAGCUAGUUGGUAAGGUAACGGCUUACCAAGGCGACGAGGGGUAGCCGACCUGAGAGGGUGAUCGGCCACACUGGAACUGAGACACGGUCCAGACUCCUACGGGAGGCAGCAGUAGGGAAUCUUCCGCAAUGGGCGAAAGCCUGACGGAGCAACGCCGCGUGAGUGAUGAAGGUCUUCGGAUCGUAAAACUCUGUUAUUAGGGAAGAACAAAUGUGUAAGUAACUAUGCACGUCUUGACGGUACCUAAUCAGAAAGCCACGGCUAACUACGUG
rnacentral:rRNA from 1 species